GGAGGCAUAGCUCAGCAGGGAGAGCACUUGCUCGACAAGCAAGGGGUCACUGGUUCGAGCCCAGUUGUCUCCA
rnacentral:tRNA from 1 species